rnacentral:lncRNA from 1 species
CUCACACACUCAGACUAUAGUGUCAAUUCCCGUACCACAGAAUGAUCAAAAAGGAGGGAGAGUAAAGGUUAGAGGGAGAACUCCAGGACACCUUCUGGAGCAGAGAGCAGGCUGGCUCUUGAAGACCAGUCCCUGGGAAAGCAUGAGAUGCUGCGAUGAUGAAGCAGCACAGGACUGAAGAGAGAAAUUUGGACACAAGGAUACAGACACAGAGGGAGGACGGCCAUGCGAAGACAGAGGCAGAGAUUGAAAUUAUGCUUCCGCAAGCCAAGGAACACCACGGACUCUGGGAACCACCAGAAGAAGCUGGAAGGGACAAGGAAGGAUUCUUCCCUAGAGCCUUCGGAGACAGCAUGGGCGUGCUGACACCCUGGUUUCAGAUUUCUAGCCUCCAGGACUGUGAGAGAAUAAAUUUCUGUUAUUUUAAGCCACCAGUUCAUGGUACUUCGUUCUGGCAGCCCUGGGAAACCAACACUGUAACCUAGUGCUGUGUUUUCCACAGCUGGGAGCCCCAAGG